UACGUAGGUGGCAAGCGUUGUCCGGAAUUAUUGGGCGUAAAGAGCUCGUAGGCGGUGUGUCGCGUCGGCCGUGAAAACCUGCAGCUUAACUGUGGGCGUGCGGUCGAUACGGGCAUCACUGGAGUUCGGCAGGGGAGACUGGAAUUCCUGGUGUAGCGGUGAAAUGCGCAGAUAUCAGGAGGAACACCGGUGGCGAAGGCGGGUCUCUGGGCCGAUACUGACGCUGAGGAGCGAAAGCGUGGGGAGCGAACAGG
rnacentral:rRNA from 1 species